UGCCAGACUCCUACGGGAGGCAGCAGUGGGGAAUAUUGCACAAUGGGGGAAGCCCUGAUGCAGCGACGCCGCGUGAGCGAUGAAGUAUUUCGGUAUGUAAAGCUCUCUCAGCAGGGAAGAAAAUGACGGUACCUGACUAAGAAGCCCCGGCUAACUACGUGCCAGCAGCCGCGGUAAUACGUAGGGGGCAAGCGUUAUCCGGAUUUACUGGGUGUAAAGGGAGCGUAGACGGCUGUGCAAGCCAGAUGUGAAAGCCCGGGGCUCAACCCCGGGACUGCAUUUGGAACUGUGUGGCUGGAGUGUCGGAGAGGCAGGCGGAAUUCCUAGUGUAGCGGUGAAAUGCGUAGAUAUUAGGAGGAACACCAGUGGCGAAGGCGGCCUGCUGGACGAUGACUGACGUUGAGGCUCGAAAGCGUGGGGAGCAAACAGGAUUAGAUACCCUCGUACA
rnacentral:rRNA from 1 species